rnacentral:rRNA from 1 species
GUCUCCAGCCAUGCCGCCCUGAAAGUGCCCUAUCUCGUCUGAUCUUGGAAACUAAGCAGGGUCGAGCCUGGUUAGUAUUUGGAUGGGAGACCACCUAGGAAUACCAGGUGCUGUAGGAG